UAGAGUUUGAUCCUGGCUCAGGAUGAACGCUGGCGGCGUGCCUAAUACAUGCAAGUCGAACGCACAGCGAAAGGUGCUUGCACCUUUCAAGUGAGUGGCGAACGGGUGAGUAACACGCUGCGAUAACCGUACCGUCAAGGUUGGGGAUAACAUUUGGAAACAGAUGCUAAUACCGAAUAAAACUUCGUAUCGCAUGAUACAAGGUUAAAAGGCGCUACGGCGUCACCUAGAGAUGGAUCCGCGGUGCAUUAGUUAGUUGGUGGGGUAAAGGCCUACCAAGACAAUGAUGCAUAGCCGAGUUGAGAGACUGAUCGGCCACAUUGGGACUGAGACACGGCCCAAACUCCUACGGGAGGCUGCAGUAGGGAAUCUUCCACAAUGGGCGAAAGCCUGAUGGAGCAACGCCGCGUGUGUGAUGAAGGCUUUCGGGUCGUAAAGCACUGUUGUAUGGGAAGAACAGCUAGAGUAGGGAAUGACUUUAGUUUGACGGUACCAUACCAGAAAGGGACGGCUAAAUACGUGCCAGCAGCCGCGGUAAUACGUAUGUCCCGAGCGUUAUCCGGAUUUAUUGGGCGUAAAGCGAGCGCAGACGGUUGAUUAAGUCUGAUGUGAAAGCCCGGAGCUCAACUCCGGAAAGGCAUUGGAAACUGGUCAACUUGAGUGCAGUAGAGGUAAGUGGAACUCCAUGUGUAGCGGUGGAAUGCGUAGAUAUAUGGAAGAACACCAGCGGCGAAGGCGGCUUACUGGACUGUAANCUGACGUGAGGCUCGAAA
rnacentral:rRNA from 1 species